UACGUAGGGGGCAAGCGUUGUCCGGAAUCAUUGGGCGUAAAGCGAGCGUAGGCGGCCCGAUAAGUCUGCUGUAAAAGUCAACGGCUCAACCGUUGAAUGCCGGUGGAAACUGUCGGGCUAGAGUCCGGAAGAGGCGAGUGGAAUUCCUGGUGUAGCGGUGAAAUGCGCAGAUAUCAGGAGGAACACCGAUGGCGAAGGCAGCUCGCUGGGACGGUACUGACGCUGAGGCGCGAAAGCGUGGGGAGCAAACAGG
rnacentral:rRNA from 1 species